rnacentral:rRNA from 1 species
ACGCUGGCGGCGUGCCUAAUACAUGCAAGUCGAGCGAACGGACGAGAAGCUGGCUUCUCUGAUGUUAGCGGCGGACGGGUGAGUAACACGUGGAUAACCUACCUAUAAGACUGGGAUAACUUCGGGAAACCGGAGCUAAUACCGGAUAAUAUUUUGAACCGCAUGGUUCAAAAGUGAAAGACGGUCUUGCUGUCACUUAUAGAUGGAUCCGCGCUGCAUUAGCUAGUUGGUAAGGUAACGGCUUACCAAGGCAACGAUGCAUAGCCGACCUGAGAGGGUGAUCGGCCACACUGGAACUGAGACACGGUCCAGACUCCUACGGGAGGCAGCAGUAGGGAAUCUUCCGCAAUGGGCGAAAGCCUGACGGAGCAACGCCGCGUGAGUGAUGAAGGUCUUCGGAUCGUAAAACUCUGUUAUUAGGGAAGAACAUAUGUGUAAGUAACUGUGCACAUCUUGACGGUACCUAAUCAGAAAGCCACGGCUAACUACGUGCCAGCAGCCGCGGUAAUACGUAGGUGGCAAGCGUUAUCCGGAAUUAUUGGGCGUAAAGCGCGCGUAGGCGGGUUGUGAAGUCUGAUGUGAAAGCCCACGGCUCAACCGUGGAGGGUCAUUGGAAACUGGAAAACUUGAGUGCAGAAGAGGAAAGUGGAAUUCCAUGUGUAGCGGUGAAAUGCGCAGAGAUAUGGAGGAACACCAGUGGCGAAGGCGACUGUCUGGUCUGUAACUGACGCUGAUGUGCGAAAGCGUGGGGAUCAAACAGGAUUAGAUACCCUGGUAGUCCACGCCGUAAACGAUGAGUGCUAAGUGUUAGGGGGUGUCCGCCCCUUAGUGCUGCAGCUAACGCAUUAAGCACUCCGCCUGGGGAGUACGACCGCAAGGUUGAAACUCAGAGGAAUUGACGGGGACCGGCACAAGCGGUGGAGCAUGUGGUGUAAUUCGGAGCAACGCGAAGAACCUUAGCAGAUCUUGACAUCGUGUGACAACUCUAGAGAUAGAGCC